rnacentral:rRNA from 1 species
UACAGAGGUCCCAAGCGUUGUUCGGAUUCAUUGGGCGUAAAGGGUGUGUAGGUGGCGCCGUAAGUCGGGUGUGAAAUUUCGGAGCUUAACUCCGAAACUGCAUUCGAUACUGCGGUGCUUGAGGACUGGAGAGGAGACUGGAAUUCACGGUGUAGCAGUGAAAUGCGUAGAGAUCGUGAGGAAGACCAGUGGCGAAGGCGGGUCUCUGGACAGUUCCUGACACUGAGGCACGAAGGCCAGGGGAGCAAACGGG